rnacentral:rRNA from 1 species
CCUACGGGAGGCAGCAGUGAGGAAUAUUGGUCAAUGGACGAGAGUCUGAACCAGCCAAGUAGCGUGAAGGAUGACUGCCCUAUGGGUUGUAAACUUCUUUUAUAUGGGAAUAAAACGUUCCACGUGUGGGAUUUUGUAUGUACCAUAUGAAUAAGGAUCGGCUAACUCCGUGCCAGCAGCCGCGGUAAUACGGAGGAUCCGAGCGUUAUCCGGAUUUAUUGGGUUUAAAGGGAGCGUAGGUGGAUUGUUAAGUCAGUUGUGAAAGUUUGCGGCUCAACCGUAAAAUUGCAGUUGAAACUGGCAGUCUUGAGUACAGUGGAGGUGGGCGGAAUUCGUGGUGUAGCGGUGAAAUGCUUAGAUAUCACGAAGAACUCCGAUUGCGAAGGCAGUUCACUGGACUGCAACUGACACUGAGGCUCGAAAGUGUGGGUAUCAAACAGGAUUAGAUACCCUAGUAGUC